rnacentral:misc_RNA from 1 species
CUAUUCUUCUUCAUUAUCGCCACCUACCCGCCCGCCCGCCACUUCCCUUCACCCGAUGCGUGAAACGGCAGCCGCCACCGAAAUAAGAAGAAAACGAGGUGCGACGCUUUAGGGAGGGGGUUGGCGGCCACUGGAGAGUGCAGUGGGGAGGUGAACGCACGAAACGAGGGAAGACACUCGUCGCACGUUGAUCUGUGAGGGAGUGCGCGUGUGUCGGCGACUUUUUGGUGUUCCUUGCUCCUUUCGAGAAGCUCGCCAGAGCUCGUGAGUUCCUGUGAAGGCACACUGGCGCACACAGCUGCCGAUUGGUCCCACUUCAUCGCUAAAGCGAGCAAGUGCGACGGUGCGGAGGACCACGCACACACCAGGCCAGCCGAUGCCCUCGUACGAGAGCCGGCACAUGCUGCGAGUGCUCGACUCGCCGGAGGUGCUGGCCAAGUCCUUCAUUGGCUACUGCAAGCGUCAUCGCGUGACGACCCGCGGGUGGUGCCGUAUAGGCUACGUGCAUCGCUCCCCUCCGCAACGUACACACUCCCGCCCAGGCAACUACCUCCUGCGCGGCCUCAUCGCGAACAGGGACAUCGCCAAGGAUGAAAACGUAGUCAUGAUGCCCGUCACAGCAUGCCUGCAUCCAGGCGCCGCUUUCCGCUGCGAACCGUUCUGGAAUUUGCUCGCGCCGGAGGUGCAAUCAGCUCUGAGUAGCCUGACGUGUGCGUACAACAGCCGCAUCGCCGACCGCUCCCUCAUCCGGCACAACCAACUUCUCCUCGCUCUCUACAUGGCGUACCUCGUGCUGCUGCGGAACUGCAACGCAGCACGCUUGUCGGCAACGCCAGGCGGCGACGCUAUCGAGUACAUCAACUUCAUGCCGCGAAAUGAGGGAAACUUUGAGCAAUUCGCCGCGCACCUCGCAGGGUGGCUAGACGCACCGGAGAUAUGCCGCAGCGCCCAGGCCUCGCUCGCUUCAUACUUCCAGUUGACCCAGGCCGAGGUGCGCCCUGUGAUCAUUUACGCCCUGUGCAUGAUCUACAGUCGCAUGGUCCCCGUGGACCACCGAGCGUGCUUGCAGUACGCCCUCCAGUCGACGCCGUUGGCCCGCGCUUGGGACGACAUGGAGGCCACAGCCGCCCCCGCCGCGCUCCCACCACCGUCAUCCUCAGGGAGUGUUGGCGACGGCAGCGUCCGCAGCGGCGUUGCGAACGCCUCUCUUGUGCGAGACCCCAUCUCUUUCCUGUGCCCCGUGAUUGACAUGUGCAACCACAGCGACCACGAAAACGUCGCCGUCAUGGUACCCGAUCGCGAGACGGCGUCCGUGACAGGGCCGGUCAUUUGCUUGCGCACCCUCCGCCCGAUUGCGAAGGGGGAGGAGCUCACCAUGACGUACGGUGCCGCCCCUCACGAACUCAAGCUCAUAUGGGGAAUGCAGGAAAUUCUCCCGUAGCCACCUAGUGGCUAAGAGGGUGAGGGGAGGGAGGGCGUAAGAGCGGCCGUAUGUGUAAGGGAGCGGGCACACUGUCGCCGUCCGUGUUGAGUGUGGGGGUGGGGCGGGCCAAGGGUGCUGCGGUGGUGAAGGCGAAGGGUCGAUGCGCCUUGCCCCCCCCUUCUCCGUCGUCUACUCCUCUGUUAACGUGCAAACUCGAGGGCCGUUACUUGUUUUCUGCUUUUUUUUUCAGCUUGUCCAUUUGGCCACGAGGAAGUCAGCAGAUGCGCACACAGAACACAACUACAGCUCAUCGCCUUUGCCGCAUCACAGCUACAUCCUCGUCCUCUAGGACGAACUGUCCUGCCGUCGAGCCGGGGCCACGCGUCUGGCGGGCUCUUCUCCCCCUUCUUCGUCCCUCAUACGCAUGCGUGCUGCGCGAUUGGCGCCAGACGGUCUUGAGUAGAGACUGCACUCCUUGAUUCGGGCGGGCCGCGUCCACGGUCCUGCUCGAGGGCGAAAGCGGCGGCGUCUGUCGGACGGAAAGUAGAGGGUGAUUCAGGCACGCGCCGGAUGAGCCCGGGGCGGAAACUGGCCAGUCUCCGGUCAGGGCCCACUGAGAUGCUGCACUCUGCCGCCUGUGUGCCAUGCCUCUCCCUCAGUCACUUCAAGCCGCGGCACCACAUAGCGUGGCGUGGAGACUCUCCACAGUGGCAUCUGGAGGAACCUGUGGUAUAAUUGGGAGUGCGCUCGCCAUGCUUUCGGUAUCUGUGCCUCCUCAGCCCACCCGGUCGUAUGCAGGCGAUGCUGCAUGCCGCGCAAGCAUGCACUCUGCGGCUGAUUGGUGUGCGUCUCUUUGCUUCUUUAUCACUCGCGCUCUGCUGGUAUCUCGAUGCCUUGCUCGGAUGCGAUAAACCAUGCUGGCUGUGCAUGGCGGCGCCUGCGCGCAGUGCUCGCCUUUACGGAUCACGGGGCCUGCUUCAUGAAGAUCGUGUUGUCGGGGAGAGGCGUCUCUGAACGGCUUGCCCGCAUGUGCCGCGACAGGCGGGACGCUGCCAUGGGUCUGUGGCCGCAGGAAGUGGGGGGGGGGCUUCCGCCCUUCUCUGCGUCCGCACGCCUUUGACAGAGGUGGGUGUGCCAAUGUGUGUUUAGUUCUUGAUGCUUAGUGAACUGGUACAAACAUCAUCAUGGCCGCAAGUCUCUUCGGACCUGCGCCGGCCCAGACCUCUCCCGCCGUCACCAGAAGUAUCCACAACCGUACCCGAGGGCAGGUUGCAGGUUGUUCGGCUUCCUCACAAAGGUCAAUGCCAGGCCCUUGCUUUCACCGUGAGGUGGCCAGCAUCCUCAGGACUGGAACGCAGAAAGCAAGGACGAAACGGAGCCGCGCGUCGAAGAGGUCUUCAUCCAUGACGA